rnacentral:rRNA from 1 species
UGGGGAAUAUUGGACAAUGGGCGCAAGCCUGAUCCAGCAAUGCCGCGUGUGUGAAGAAGGCCUUCGGGUUGUAAAGCACUUUUAUCAGGAGCGAAACGCUGUCGGCUAAUACCCGGCGGAACUGACGGUACCUGAGGAAUAAGCACCGGCUAACUUCGUGCCAGCAGCCGCGGUAAUACGAAGGGUGCAAGCGUUAAUCGGAAUUACUGGGCGUAAAGCGUGCGUAGGCGGUUUCUUAAGUCUGCUGUGAAAUCCCCGGGCUCAACCUGGGAAUGGCAGUGGAUACUGGGAGGCUAGAGUGUGUCAGAGGGUGGUGGAAUUCCCGGUGUAGCGGUGAAAUGCGUAGAGAUCGGGAGGAACAUCAGUGGCGAAGGCGGCCACCUGGGACAACACUGACGCUGAGGCACGAAAGCGUGGGGAGCAAACAGGAUUAGAUACCCUGGUAGUCCACGCCCUAAACGAUGCGAACUGGAUGUUGGUCUCAACUCGGAGAUCAGUGUCGAAGCUAACGCGUUAAGUUCGCCGCCUGGGGAGUACGGUCGCAAGACUGAAACUCAAAUGAAUUGACGGGGUCAUAGCUGUUU